UCGGCCAUGCGGUUUGUGGUAACUGGUUCCAGCAGCCCUAGGAAUCUAAUACACUGCCCAUGUUAUUUUGAGGAUCAAGUGAAACUUAGAAACAAUAACAACAAAAAAAGCAAAGUCUGUGAUCAAGAAGAAUUACUCUGUUGCAACAAUAUAAACUAAGAAAAAAAUACGCAAAAUUCUCUGCUGCCUUGGGAGAUGAUCUCAUGAUGUGUAUCAUUUACUUUUAAUAUUUUUAUUUAUUUAUUUUUGAGACGGAGUCUCGCUCUGUCGCCCAGGCUGGAGUGCAGUGGCGUGAUCUCGGCUCACUGCAACCUUCGCCUCCCGGGCUCAAGUGAUUCUCCUGCUUCAGCCUCCUGAGUAGCUGGGAUUAUAGGCAUGUGCCGCCAUGCCUGCCUAGUUUUUUAUUUUUAGUAGAGAUGGGGUUUCACCAUGUUGGUCAGGCUGCUCUCAAACUCCUGACCUUGUGAUCUGUGCGCCUCAGCCUCCCAAAGUGCUGGGAUUACUGGUGUGACCGACCGUGCCUGGCCAAUGUGUAUGAUUUAAUAGCCAGCAGCAAC
rnacentral:lncRNA from 1 species